AUGAACGCUGGCGGCGUGCCUAAUCCCUGCAAGUCGAGCGAACGGACGAGAAGCUUGCUUCUCUGAUGUUAGCGGCGGACGGGUGAGUAACACGUGGAUAACCUACCUAUAAGACUGGGAUAACUUCGGGAAACCGUAGCUAAUACCGGAUAAUAUUUUGAACCGCAUGGUUCAAAAGUGAAAGACGGUCUUGCUGUCACUUAUAGAUGGAUCCGCGCUGCAUUAGCUAGUUGGUAAGGUAACGGCUUACCAAGGCAACGAUGCAUAGCCGACCUGAGAGGGUGAUCGGCCACACUGGAACUGAGACACGGUCCAGACUCCUACGGGAGGCAGCAGUAGGGAAUCUUCCGCAAUGGGCGAAAGCCUGACGGAGCACCGCCGCGUGAGUGAUGAAGGUCUUCGGAUCGUAAAACUCUGUUAUUAGGGAAGAACAUAUGUGUAAGUAACUGUGCACAUCUUGACGGUACCUAAUCAGAAAGCCACGGCUAACUACGUG
rnacentral:rRNA from 1 species